CUCUCAGUAAUUUGAAACAUGAGCGUUCUUUUCAAACGGCUUUUGCGCAACCACAAGCGGAGUUAGGUUAUUUAAUCCACAAGAAAAGUGGCACGGCGGUCAUCUGGGUGGUCUUUUGGGUUUGAGGCUGCAGACGUGCACCAGAAACAGGUAGGCUACUGUGCAAAACAUGACGCGCUAAAGUUGCUACAUCGAGCGGAAACACAACAUACCUUUACCGACACUUGGAAAAACCACUACAGGCACUUGCAUAACGGAGAAGUCCGGUGAAAAGUCUAGUAAACAUGAGUCUCAGGUCCAUUGUUGCAAACAGACUACAAUUACAAUAUCUUUUGCCAGUGAAAGCACUUACGACAAGAGCAGCUGAAGACACCGGGAGAUAACCACAGCCAUGAUGACACAAUGGGGGAGAGUGGGGUGAGUUGUGCCAGUUUUAACUUUGCGUCUUUAAAGCAAGGGGAUGACAGUAAUACCUCCGACUAAGAUAUGUACAUAUAGUUUAGGAUGUGGUGUAUCCUUGGGAACAAUCACUUUGGAUCUUAAAUAAACUGUUUGAGAAAUUAACUUUAGAAAAAUAAGUGGUCUUGUGGAGAGAAUACAUUGGGGCAAAUUGUGCCAUAGGUUAUUGAAGUAAACUACAUAAUUUUAAUCUUACAAACAGUAAUGCGGCAUAAAAGUGAGACAAAUUCAAUACAAAAUUACUUAUUUAAAGAUUUUACAACAUCAAAGCCCACUUCUCUAUAGAGCCACAUGAGCACAUUUAGAACAUAACCAGCUGCAAUUCUCUAAACCAAGCUACGAAUUAACAAUGCUGCAGGGAAAUCUGAAUUUAUGCUCCCUUCUGGUUGAACCACCAAGUCUCUGUGGUGUGGGUAGUUUCUGGAGCAUAUCACCUUUAGGGAGGACUCUAUUUUCUUUAAAUUUGAAAACUGGCUUUCCAUCCACAAUUCUUACCUUUAGUUUUCAUUCGUAUGUCAAAGCAAUAGAUUUUUAUGUUUUGAUUUGUAAAUGUUACUGUUCACAUUGUGUAUAUAGACGGGUUUCUUGUGUACUAACAAUAGACGGGUUUCUGUGCAACAUCAUCGCAGGUAUGCGCGCGCAGCCAGGGGUAGAAAGUGAGACAUUUCUUAUCUGUUCACUAUCGGAGUCAAUGGAGAAAGAAAAUGACAAGGAGCUGUUGUGCCGAAAACUGCACGAAUCGGCAAAACAAACAAUCGGCAAACAUUACGACCCUGCUCCUGAUAUUAGAAACAUCGAAAACAAUGUCACAACCUGGUAAAUUGAGUGAAAUUUAUGGAGAUUUCAGCAAGUGUUUUUCUGAUUUUGAUGCAGUGAAAGACAAAGCGAUUUUUCAAUGAAAUUAAAUUUAUUGCAAUUGUGUCAGGGAGAACUUGCAAACAAUACAGCAUCUUCAUUGAUAUCAGUUCACUCCGAGGCAGGCUUUUGCCUCCUGGUUGUGUGUGCACCUAGUAUUGUUUGUACACAAGAAACCCAUCUAUACUAUAGACAGUCUAUACUACCCGUAUAUUCUCUGUUGACUCCGCUAGUAAACAAAUAAGAAAUUUCUGUCCGAAAAUUGCAAUUCGAUCUUUUCCUAAAAUCGUUCAGCUGUUUAAGUUCAUUAAGUUGUCAAACUUGAACAAUGGAAGAAGGCUGGAAUCUGUUAACCUAAAAUGACAUUAUUUUUCAGAUGGCCUUUAUUCUCGUUUGACUCCAACUCAAACUGAACUUCUGGCUGAUGGUCUAAAAAAUAUAUCAGCUCUCAUGAGUCAAACAAGCACUGAAGAAAGCAAAAGAAACGAAACACUCAUGGAAGACCUGCCACACCAACAUUGCUCAUUACUCAGGUAUGUAGAUUAUAAAUUGCUUUUUCACUUAUUUUUUGACUUUGGGGUAUUAGAAAGGCAAUAUCACAUUGUUGUGAAUGGCAGCGUAUGCUUUGCUUAAAGUUUAGUGAAUUAUUAGAAGCAACCAUGUGAUAAGAUAUUGGCCAAAUUAAAAUGCAUCGAUUUACAGUCUAAAUAUUUUACAGUCAGCGACCAGAAAGCAUACCCCUUGUGCCUUCUAAUGCCACACAGCGCAGGAGCUCGGUCGUAAAUUCUGACUUGGUAAAAGAGAUUUUGUUGAGACUUUGUCAGAGAGGUGUUGAUUCACCUUUAUGGCUCAUGAUGCUUUAUUGGGUGAUUAUGUUUUCACUGCAUGAGGUGACACUACCUCACCAUUAAGCCCUUCACAAUAGCACAGCUAGUCCUUUAGUGUGGGGAAAGAAACCGUUUUAAAAACUGUUCAGAGAAAGUCCAAUCUGGAGGGUAUAGGGAGUGGCAAUUAAUGCUGUAUUUUCUGUUUGGAAAUCCUCAAAUAGAAAUAAAGGCAGCAUUAAUCAAGUUCAAUGGACUGGUUUAACUAUAGAAUUACAGUACGAUAGUAUGUUACUAUUUUACUGAUAGAAUCCAUUAUACUUUUAAUAAGCAAUAUUUAAGUUUAAAUACUGUGGGAUUUCAGAAGUGGCAGACUGAGUGGGCAGUAGAAAUGUUCAGUGACCUGCUGCAGCAGCAGGUGAGGAAAAAACUGUCUGUCAGAACAUGAAGACAGUCCCUCCUGAUUGGUCAGAGACAAUAUAUUGACAUGCUCAUGGGCAUUCAGUGCUACGGUUUUACUGAGUCUCAUCUAUUCUCUCAUCCAAGCAUAGCUAUUUUCAUUUAGCUUUUAAAAGUUUUUUCCCUCGUGUGUUACUGUCCACUCAUGAUGGACAUGUUUGGAGUGUUAUGUGACUCUUAUCUGUUUUCUUUUACACUCUGUGGAUUUGUAAUAAUGGAUACUUUAAAAUGUUUGGAUGGUGGAUUUAAGAAAGGUAGAUGAAAAUACAGCUACACUUAGUCUGUGCAUUACAGUUUUAUAUUUGGUAUGGAUAAUACUGUGACCACCCGGGACAAUAUUCUUUAUGUUUACAGUGUUUGGGAUUAUCUAAGCAAAGAGGCUGCUGUCUUCAUCCACUCCUCCUGGCUGGAGUAUAUCAGCAAGCUGCUCUGAUCUCUGAUAAGAUGUGACAAGUCAACCCCAAGUUGAGGUAAGAGUCAGACAAAAUAUGUUCAUAUUUAUGAACCUUAGAAAGCAACAAAGUCAGUGUAGUAGAUUUGAUACUUUGUUCUGUACAGCUUUCAAACCCCAACCCAUCUGUCGAGCACAUCAAAUGGUCCUAUAAUACAAGAACAAACUAACAUCAGUAAAAGCAGGGACAGUUUCUAGAGAAAAAGCUGUGGGGAUUGAACUGGCACAUCAGUUUCACAAAGAGCUAGCUCCCUCCUGAACUCCAUCAUACUACCAGCCAGAAUGAGGCCACUGUGUUGGCAUAACAUAAAGAAUGCAGGGACCUCCUACUAGUUAAGUUACAUCUGGCCCAGCUAGUGCCACAAUGCAAUGCAUUAUCAUCUGACAAUGUUAUGUGAACUACAUAUCUUUGAAGUACACUGUGAGAAAGUUGUAAAAUCAAAUAGCACAGCAUCAUAAGCUACUGUGCAGUGUUUGGAAAAACUGACAAGUCUUCAAACUUCACUGAAGUCAGGCAGAAACCUAUGUAAACAAGGUUGUGCACACUUCAGGUGACGAGGCCAAACACUGACUUAUAGGGUCACACCUGUGCUUGUUGGACAUAACACUGGUCAAGUUAAUCAGACUAAGCCAACAUAAAACUUAAUCGACAUUUUCUUAAUCAAAAUACUACCAAGUCAUCUGGGCUCGUUUACAUGAGGAUGGUAGAGCAUCUGAGUCGCUAUCAACUGGAGCUACAGCACCAGCUUCUGGUGAAUUGGUGCAUUACAGUUUAAGAACAAUGUAUGACCGGCGUUUUAGGCCUACUAUAAUAAUAAAAAUGUUGAUAACUCAUUUAUUCAACUUCUAAACCAAAUAUUUGUGAUGUUAAUGCACAUGACAGCAGUUAGUAGUUUAGUUGACUAAACCGUGACAGCCUGUGUUUAAUUAAAAAUAAAUAAUUUUACAGGCUUUAAAACAAAUGGAAGUAAAUGACUAUGAAACAGGAGUACAAAUGUGGCAAUUUGAGGUGUUUUGAUUAAAAAAAAAAUACAAAACCAUUUUGAUUUGAUUUAUUUUUCUUACAUAAACCUUUUUUCCGUUCUUCAUCUGAAAAAAGAGACAAAAAGUCAGAAAUAGACAUCUGCUUACAAAAUGCACAGGUAGGCCUAAGAAACCCCUCAGUGCUUUUAGGAUUAAAUCUAUCAAGCACUGAUAAUAAAGCAUAAACAAAAAUCGGUUUUGUGUGCAGUAGAAUACUUCUUUAAAGUACCAGCAUACACGAGAGAAGGAAUUAAUGUAAAAGCUUUUAAAAAACAAAAAAGAAGAUUGAAAUGUGAGGGAGACAGUUCUUAAUUAAUGAACUUCUGAGACGUUGACAAUAAAAGAGCUGCUAAAGAGAUAGGAAGUUGGUGAUUAGGAAACUGGAAUACAAAAGAACAAAUCUCAGGUGUGCUGAUGUUAAAUCUGUCGAAUAAUAGAGAGGUGUGAACAUUCUAGCUGGAGGGACUUUUCCUUUUGUUAACGUGUUUAUUUUUUUCUUCAUCAGAUAAGACAGCUGAAGAAAGACAAGAAAUGUUGGGAGUACAGAGGGCAGAAAGUGAUUGUGGUCUGGAGUCGAACCAGCUACCAUUGUAGCGAGUACUAUAGCCUUUGCACAUGGCAUGUUUCUCGAUCAGUGGGUCAACAGUGGCCCAGCUGGAGAGACAAUUCCAACAGAUUUUUAGAAUAGGGAC